rnacentral:rRNA from 1 species
AGAGUUUGAUCCUGGCUCAGGACGAACGUUGGCGGCGUGCUUAACACAUGCAAGUCGAGCGGAAAGGCCCUUCGGGGUACUCGAGCGGCGAACGGGUGAGUAACACGUGAGCAACCUGCCCCUAGCUCUGGGAUAGCUCCGGGAAACCGGGAUUAAUACCAGAUACGACCACUUUAGACAUCUGCUGUGGUGGAAAGGAUUCCGGCUAGGGAUGGGCUCGCGGCCUAUCAGCUUGUUGGUGGGGUAACGGCCUACCAAGGCGACGACGGGUAGCCGGCCUGAGAGGGCGACCGGCCACACUGGGACUGAGACACGGCCCAGACUCCUACGGGAGGCAGCAGUGGGGAAUAUUGCGCAAUGGGCGAAAGCCUGACGCAGCGACGCCGCGUGGGGGAUGAAGGCCUUCGGGUUGUAAACCCCUUUCAGCAGGGACGAAGCGAGAGUGACGGUACCUGCAGAAGAAGCGCCGGCUAACUACGUGCCAGCAGCCGCGGUAACACGUAGGGCGCAAGCGUUGUCCGGAAUUAUUGGGCGUAAAGAGCUCGUAGGCGGUCUGUUGCGUCCGCUGUGAAAACUCGGGGCUUAACCCCGAGCCUGCAGUGGAUACGGGCAGACUAGAGGUAGGUAGGGGAGAAUGGAAUUCCCGGUGUAGCGGUGAAAUGCGCAGAUAUCGGGAGGAACACCGGUGGCGAAGGCGGUUCUCUGGGCCUUACCUGACGCUGAGGAGCGAAAGCGUGGGGAGCGAACAGGAUUAGAUACCCCAGUAGUCC